rnacentral:rRNA from 1 species
AUGAUGAGAGUGGCGCACGGGUGCGUAACGCGUGAGCAACCUGCCCAUAUCAGGGGUAUAGCCCGAAGAAAUUCGGAUUAACACCGCAUGAGAUUACAGUUCCGCAUGGGACAGUAAUUAAAUAUUUAUAGGAUAUGGAUGGGCUCGCGUGACAUUAGCUAGUUGGUAGGGUAACGGCUUACCAAGGCUACGAUGUCUAGGGGCUCUGAGAGGAGAAUCCCCCACACUGGUACUGAGACACGGACCAGACUCCUACGGGAGGCAGCAGUAAGGAAUAUUGGUCAAUGGAGGGAACUCUGAACCAGCCAUGCCGCGUGCAGGAUGACUGCCCUAUGGGUUGUAAACUGCUUUUGUCAGGGAAUAAACCUUUCUACGUGUAGGAAGCUGAAUGUACCUGAAGAAUAAGGAUCGGCUAACUCCGUGCCAGCAGCCGCGGUAAUACGGAGGAUCCGAGCGUUAUCCGGAUUUAUUGGGUUUAAAGGGUGCGUAGGCGGCUUAUUAAGUCAGGGGUGAAAUACGGCAGCUCAACUGUCGCAGUGCCUUUGAUACUGAUAAGCUUGAAUGUGGUUGAAGAUGGCGGAAUGAGACAAGUAGCGGUGAAAUGCAUAGAUAUGUCUCAGAACUCCGAUUGCGAAGGCAGCUAUCUAAGCCAUUAUUGACGCUGAUGCACGAAAGCGUGGGGAUCAAACAGGAUUAGAUACCCUGGUAGUCCACGCCCUAAACGAUGAUAACUCGAUGUUAGCGAUACACAGUUAGCGUCUUAGCGAAAGCGUUAAGUUAUCCACCUGGGGAGUACGCCCGCAAGGGUGAAACUCAAAGGAAUUGACGGGGGCCCGCACAAGCGGAGGAGCAUGUGGUUUAAUUCGAUGAUACGCGAGGAACCUUACCCGGGCUUGAAAGUUAGUGAAUGAUCCAGAGACGGAUCAGUCCUUCGGGACACGAAACUAGGUGCUGCAUGGCUGUCGUCAGCUCGUGCCGUGAGGUGUUGGGUUAAGUCCCGCAACGAGCGCAACCCCUAUGUUUAGUUGCCAGCAUGUAAUGAUGGGGACUCUAAACAGACUGCCUGCGUAA